GGCCUGGCUAGGCGGUUUAGCCGCAAGGUUAACACUGCUUUGGUUGGGCCUUUCCUUCUAGGGAACUAGUGUGCUCUUUAUUGAGUGCGCUAGGGAUCUAGGACUGUUACUUUGAAAAAAUUAGAGUGUUUAAAACAGGCAUUUGCUUGAAUACAUUAGCAUGGAAUAACGGAAUAGGACUUUGUUUCUAUUUUGUUGGUUUUCAGAAACGAAGUA
rnacentral:rRNA from 1 species